AUACCUGCACAAAAUUAAAGGGGUUUCCGAAGAUGUUCCGUUCGUCGUCAGACAGAUUUUUACGGAUGAAUUGAUGGGCGCCUACAACUGGCAUGGGUGAUGCGAAAAGCAGGCCCUAGUCAAGCUUAAGCUGUUGGAUUCCAUUCUACGAGAAAUCUUCAAACUACAAGGAAGUUUCGAGUUCGAACGAGGCGUUAAAAAAGCAAAAGACGAAGAAGGAGGCUCAUUAAACUUAAACUUAAUAU